GUGUCAGCCGCCGCGGUAAGACAGAGGGUGCAAGCGUUGUUCGGAAUUAUUGGGCGUAAAGGGCGCGUAGGCGGCUUUGUAAGUCAGAUGUGAAAUCCCAGGGCUUAACCCUGGAAGUGCAUCUGAUACUGCUUAGCUUGAAUCCCGGAGAGGGUGGUGGAAUUCCUGGUGUAGAGGUGAAAUUCGUAGAUAUCAGGAGGAACACCGGUGGCGAAGGCGACCACCUGGACGGAGAUUGACGCUGAGGCGCGAAAGCGUGGGGAGCAAACAGGAUUAGAAACCCCAGUAGUCC
rnacentral:rRNA from 1 species